AUGAGUGAUGAAGACCUGAGGGACAGCUCUGGAAAGAUCCGUCCUGCAUUGUGCAAGUUGGCUCAAAAGAACUUAGAGCGGAAGAAAAUGGAGCUGUUGGAGAAAGAGCUCAAGAGAAGGAGGCAAACAGAAACAUCCUUGCAGCUGCCUCCACAGACAGCUGACCCUGGGGAUGCAGAGGAAGCAAGUAAGUGCAGACUACACCUGUGGUCCUUUUUGACCGCUUGCUUGCCCUUUGCACGGUGCUGCAGUCAGGCUGUUCUGCUUGCAUCUGAGUGGAAGCUUGAAGAGGAGUUCUUUCCCUUCCCCCCAAAAUAAUACAGAGGCAUGAAGAGUCAUGCCCAAGGUUUCACAGACUCAGUAACAGAAUAUCAGCUUCCCACCUUCAUCUCCAAAGUCUUUCAGAGUAGAAAAUUUUGUCUUGCAAAGUUAACUGGGGCUUCAGACUCUCUCCUGGAGAGCAGCCUGCAGGGAAGGGGAGUCCAGAAGAAUGCUUCUCAGCCAUAGUGGAACUGAGAAGAAACAAAAUUCAAUUCCUUCUAAUGAAAACACCAGAGAUCCUUCUCCUGCCACAGCCUGCUGAGGAGCAGGCACUGUAGAGCUGUGCUGAAGCCCCGAGCCAGUGCUUCUGUUGUAGCCCCAGGAGCAAGGAGCGUUCCUGACUGAAUCCUGGCUGAGGGGCUCUGACUGCAGUGCUGUGUGUGCUGCCCCCAGGGUGGCAGCAGGGACCUUAGGAGGCAGCACUCAGCCCAAGGGCAUCACUCAAGGCUAUCUGCACUUUCAUUUGGUAACUUCCCCAGCCAGAAACAGGAAAACAAAAGCAAAGCAAUACUGUGUUUUCCUUCUUUCUUAGGGGAAGCAUCACUGCAAUUUGGUUUUAAACUAGAAGAGGGUAGAUUCAGAUUAGAUUCUAGGGGGAAUGUUUUUAUAAUGAAGGGGAUGAAGCACUGGAAGGGUUGGCUCACAGAAGCUGCUGUUGUUGAUCCAUUCUUGAAGGUGUUCAAAGCCAAUUUACAUGGGGCUCUGAGCAAUCUCAUCUAGAUGAAGAUGUCCCUGCUCACAGGGGUUGGACUAGAUG
rnacentral:lncRNA from 1 species